rnacentral:rRNA from 1 species
CCUACGGGAGGCAGCAGUGAGGAAUAUUGGUCAAUGGACGAGAGUCUGAACCAGCCAAGUAGCGUGAAGGAUGACUGCCCUAUGGGUUGUAAACUUCUUUUAUAUGGGAAUAAAAUGUUCCACGUGUGGGUUUUUGUAUGUACCAUAUGAAUAAGGAUCGGCUAACUCCGUGCCAGCAGCCGCGGUAAUACGGAGGAUCCGAGCGUUAUCCGGAUUUAUUGGGUUUAAAGGGAGCGUAGGUGGAUUGUUAAGCCUGUUGUGAAAGUUUGCGGCUCAACCGUGAAAUUGCAGUUGAAACUGGCAGUCUUGAGUACAGUAGAGGUGGGCGGAAUUCGUGGUGUAGCGGUGAAAUGCUUAGAUAUCACGAAGAACUCCGAUUGCGAAGGCAGCUCACUGGACUGCAACUGACACUGAGGCUCGAAAGUGUGGGUAUCAAACAGGAUUAGAUACCCCAGUAGUC